rnacentral:rRNA from 1 species
CAGUCGCCGCGGGAAUACGUAGGUGGCAAGCGUUGUCCGGAAUUAUUGGGCGUAAAGGGCUCGCAGGCGGUUUCUUAAGUCUGAUGUGAAAGCCCCCGGCUCAACCGGGGAGGGUCAUUGGAAGCUGGGAAACUUGAGUGCAGAAGAGGAGAGUGGAAUUCCACGUGUAGCGGUGAAGUGCGUAGAGAUGUGGAGGAACACCAGUGGCGAAGGCGACUCUCUGGUCUGUAACUGACGCUGAGGAGCGAAAGCGUGGGGAGCGAACAGGAUUAGAUACCCCUGUAGUCCCUGUCUCUUAUAC